GGAGGAUAUUACCGAAAACCCAACUUUAAUAUCAAAGAACCAUGACCGUGCAUUUUUCGAUUCAGCUGAUUGGGCACUCAGAAAGCAAGGAGCAAAAAAGCCUAAAGGACCACUUGAAGCAUUGCGCCCCAAAUUACAGGUACUGAUAUGAGUUUCAUAUGCUUUCAAACCAAUAAACCAAAGUUAGAAAACCUAUCA